GAUGAAGAACGCAGCGAAAUGCGAUACGUAAUGUGAAUUGCAGAAUUCAGUGAAUCAUCGAGUCUUUGAACGCACAUUGCGCCCCCUGGUAUUCCGGGGGGCAUGCCUGUCCGAGCGUCAUUGCUGCCCUCAAGCACGGCUUGUGUGUUGGGCCUCCGCCCCCCGGCUCCCGGGGGGCGGGCCCGAAAGGCAGCGGCGGCACCUCGUCCGGUCCUCGAGCGUAUGGGGCUUCGUCACCCGCUCCGUAGGCCCGGCCGGCGCCCGACGGCGACCCCCCUCAAUCUUUCCAGGUUGACCUCGGAUCAGGUAGGGAUACCCGCUGAACUUAAGCAUAUCAAUAAGCGGAGGA
rnacentral:misc_RNA from 1 species